rnacentral:rRNA from 1 species
CGCGUAGGUGGCUCAGUCAGUCGGUCGUGAAAUCCCCCGGCUUAACCGGGGAAGUGCGUCCGAUACUGCUGGGCUUGAGUGCAGGAGGGGAGAGUGGAAUUCCUGGUGGAGCGGUGAAAUGCGUAGAUAUCAGGAGGAACGCCGGUGGCGAAAGCGACUCUCUGGCCUGCUACUGACACUGAGGCGCGAAAGCCAGGGGAGCGAACG